AUGGCGGCGCCCAUUGACGAGAGCGUGUUAAACGCUCUGCGGGGCGUAACCAGCGCCCAUACGCGUCUGCCCAAGCCGCUGCUGAUUAAAAUAUAUGUAGCCAGCUUGAAGCAGGAAUUCAAUCAGGAGCGACGCAUGUUGCUGGAGCUGGUUGGCCCCGAGCUGCAGUCGCUCUACGAUGAUCGGCAGAUUGAACUUGAAAUUGUGGACAUGCACUUUGGCACUGGUGCCUUGGAAGUCAGCAUAUUGGAGCGUGAUCCCUACUUGAUGCAGGACUUUCUGCACGAGAUCGACACUUGCCAUGCCCACUCAAAGAGUGUCUUCUUUAUGGCACUAAUUGGCGAUGGCAUUGGGCUUGCCCCCUUGCCCACACACAUAGAUGAGGACAUAUUUUCCGCGUUGCUGCAACUGACAACGGACAAUGAUGAGGCACUGUUGGCCCACUGGUAUGCCAAGGACACACAAUUGCAGUCAGAGGCCGUGUGCCAGCGCAUACUCAAACAGGACUAUCGCUCGUUGCCUACGGAGACUUGGCUGACAGAAUCACGUCGAUUGCAUCAGUUGUUUGAGCAAAGCCUGCAACGUCUUUGGGCCAAUAGCAGCGCCAAUGCGGAGCUGCAGCAGCGUGUGCAGCAACUGCGACGCACGCAAAUCGAGCAGGAAGUGCUGCGAGCUAUGGCUCAUUCCAGUGAAAAGAUACUGGCAGUUUUCCGGGAACGCGCCGCACAGUGCAGCAAGCGGGAUGUGGAGGCCAGCGAACGGCUGCGCAAAAUCAAAGAUGAGUUGACCAUGAACCUGUCGACGGAUAAUCACACAACGCUGGUUGUGCCUGGCAACGCGAGCAGCGACGCCAUAGAUCCGGAUAAUGAGGACCAUGAGGCGUACUUGAGCAAGUUCAAGAACAAAGUCACCGACAAGCUGCGUCUGUUAAUCGAGGCGCACAUUACAAAUGAUCCCGAUGUAAUCAAGGGGAGGAAAAAGACUGUGCAGGAAAUCUUUCAUGAGCAUGCCACACAUCUGCGGUUGCUGGGCGAGCACAGGGGCGUGCUGUUGGAGUCGCGAGUGCCACAGCAGCUGCGACUCAAUUUAAUGGCCAAUUUUCGCAACGGCAGCCGCCAUUCACCGUAUUUCAUAUGUGGCGCCUAUGGCAGCGGUAAAAGCGCUCUGAUUAGCCAUCUUUAUGACCAGGUGGGCAGCUGGUUUGGUUCGACGCGUGUGCAUCGCGUCAUUCGCUUUGCCAAGGCCUCGCCUCGUUCGGCCUAUAAUUUGGAGCUGCUGCGCGUCAUCUGUCAACAGAUAUCGAUUAUAUUCAACAUACCCGAGGGCUAUUUGCCCAAGGAUGCGUCUUUCGAUCCGCUGUACAUCAGCAAUUGGUUUCAGAAUCUGCUGCGCCGCAUCGAGGACAUGAACAAUGAUGUGCUCUUUCUGUUCAUUGACGAUCUGCAUCUGCUGAAUCCGCUGGACUGCGACAUUGUUGCUGCACUCUCCUGGCUGCCCACCUCGCUGCCCUGGAACGUACAAAUCAUUUGCAGCUCCACAACGCCACUCGAGCAACUUAAGUUUACGCCCAUGCAACGCGAUAGAUUCAAGUCGGCUGAGUAUCAGUUUCAUCUGAGUCAGGAGCAGAAUGUUACGCAGCUGCAGCUACCCAAGCACUGCAACAAGGAUGUGGACUUUGUUAGCUAUGUGGAGCAGCAGUUUGAUGAGCUCGAAGAGCAUUACGGACGACAUUCGGUGGCCAGUCUGGCUGCUUACAUUAGCUGCUCUGAGUAUGGCCUCACAGAGACGGAGUUGCUUGAGCUGCUAAUGCCCAUCGACGAUCCCGAGUCGCUCAUCGAUACGCACAACGGACACUUUAGCUUCGCUAGCUUCAAGAAAAUACACAGACAAAUGGACAAGCAUAUGCUGCUGCACGACAAGAUCAUGUCGGGCAAGGUGCUGAUACAGUGGCGCCACAAUUACUGCGGGCUGGUGGCCAAGCGUCGCUAUAUGGAUGUGGAGCGCACUCGCAAUCUGCACAUGGAGCUGGCCAAUUUGUUCUUUCCGCAGGACGAGGACGACAGCACGCUGGAGAAUGAAUCAACCAAGAGCGAAACCAAAUCAGUUAUUAGCUGCAAGGAGCGCGGCGCAGAGGCGCACAAGGACAAGGAGCGCGAAAAGGACACAGUAUCCGCGGGCCGCAAGUCAUCGUCCACACACCACAACGACGAUACUUCCACCUUCUAUAACCCCAUUGCGGCCGAUGUUUCCUACAGCAUGCGCCACGUCGAGGAGAGCUGGCAUCAUCUGAUGCGCUCCGAUGACACGAUGCGGUUCAAGCAAAUCGCAGUGUGCAAUUUUGAUUUCCUGCUUGCGGCGGUGCAAACGGUCUCCAUUAGCUACCUGCGCUGCCUGAUUGAGCACGUACGCUGCUAUAUACUCGACCGGGACAUCGAGCUUAUCUACUACACCAUACGCAAGUCGAGCGAUGUGCUUACGCGUGAUCCCAUGCAGCUGGGCUCGCAGCUCAUCUCGUGGCUGCGCCCCAUAAGCGAGCACGACGACGAUGACAACUCGCUCUUGAGCCUGACGGUGCGCUCGGCCACAGCCUGGUGCGAUGGCUAUGCGGUGCCGCUGCUAGUCCCAUUGACGGGCUGGCUGCCCGCGCCGUUGCCAUCGCAGAUACGCACGAUGACCGUAACGGGCACUGGCGUCAUACGCGCCGUUUGUGUUGCCCCAUCAAAGCAGCAUCUGAUACUCGCCACCAAUUCGGGCGAUGUGCAACAGUGGCACAUCAUGAGCAAUUCGCUGGAGCAUACGUACAAGGGCCACACUGCAGCCGUCACGUGCCUGCUGGUGGCGCCACAGCAGUCACAACUGCUGCUAACUGGCUCCGAGGAUGCCCAUGUGCUGGUCUGGCACGUGUCCUUGCGCGAGAAACGAGCGCACAUCAACGCACACACCGCACCCAUUACGGCCGUGGCCGCUGGUGUGAAUAACACGCUGAUCAUUAGCAGCAGCGAGGAUGCAACCAUCGCCAUCACAGACCUGGCCAGCGGCAAACUGCAACAUCGCAUAAGCUAUCAUCGUGGACCAGUCACCGGCAUUUUGGUUGCCGGCGCCUGUGACGUUCUCAUCUCGGCCAGUCACGACAAGAGCAUCUGUGUGUGGGAUCUGGAGAACUAUGCGCUGCUGAACACCAUGCAGAUGACAAGUCCAGUGCUCAAAAUUGACAUCUCCUGGAAUUCGGUGUUUCUGCUGGCGCUCUGCGAGGACAAUGCGCUCUAUGUGCGCACCUUGGCCACGGGCAAGGAGCUGCACACGCUCAAGGGGCACAAGUCGCGGAUACGCACCAUUUCCAUAGGCAAGGACAGCCAACGUUGUGUGGUGGGCUGUGAGGACACACGCGCUCUCAUCUAUGACAUGCAUGCCGGCAAGCUGGUGCGAUCGAUGCCACCCAAUCCGGGUCCCGUUACGGCCGUCUAUGCCAUGGACAAUGAUGACUUUCUGAUCACCGUGGGCGGCAACAAGAUCACCUUCUACUCCUUCCGCAACGAGGAGCUCUACAUCAAUCCCUACUCGCGCCAUCAGCGCCGCAAGCGCAGCCUCAAGCGGCACACGCUCGCCCAGCGCUCCCCCUCCACCACCUUACCGCCCAUCACGUGCUUUGAUCUGUCGCGCGACUCGCAGCAGCUGGCCAUUGCCUCGGGCCGCAGCGUGCAUCUGAUGCGCAUCAAUACGCCGGAGUAUCAGUGCACGCUGGACGGGCACAGCUGUGUGGUCAACUGCUUGAAGUUUGCGCCCAAUGGCGAGUUUCUGGCCACAGGCGGCGAGGAUCGUUUGGUGCAGAUCUGGACAUUGGCGCUGGGCGAGAUCAAUCAUACGUUCAAGGCGCAUGCAGCGCCAGUGGUGCAGCUGGUGGUGCUCAUGGACUCGCUGCGUGUGCUCUCCAGCGAUCGCGACUCCAUGCUGCUUGUGUGGAUGGCCGACUCCGGCAAUCUACUGCAGACCAUACAAGGACCCUACAAGAGCUUGGCAGUGACCAACAACAUGCGCUUUGCUAUCUCCACCAAUGGCGACAAUACGCUCAAGAUCUGGUCGCUGACGCAGGAAGACGAGAAGUUCCUGGUCUCGCACUCCGAUGAGAUCACCUGCUUUGAGAUUAGCGCGGACAGCAUGCAUGUCAUAACGGGCUCGCGCGACAUGUCCUUGAAGGUCUGGCAAUCCAUUGGCGGCAAGCUAAGCCAAGUGCUCGUGGGCCACAGCGAUGCUGUCACCUGUGUGGCUGUUUCGGUGACCAACAAGACGCAGGUGAUCUCCGGCUCCAAGGACAUGAAUCUCAUCAUUUGGGAUCUGCUUACUGGCGAGGAUUUGCAUACGCUGGCGGGACAUCUGGGCGCAGUUAUUGGCGUAAAGGUAUCCGCUGAUGGCUCCACUGCUGUGUCCGGCAGCGAUGACAAGACGCUUAUUGUGUGGGAAACCAAGCGCGGCUUGGCCUUGACCUCACUGCAAAUGCAUGUGCCCUUCACCCACUUCGACAUAAGCCUGGAAGUCUCGCGCGUUAUGGUGCAGCUGGUGGACAGCUAUAAUCUGCCGGUGAUCUGUUUGCACAAUACGCCGGCGCAGUAUGUUAAGCUGCCCACCUACUCGGGACCCAGCAAGGAUGUGGAGGAUCUGCGUCCGCAGGGACCGAAGCGGCAAAUGAAGCGACUGCUGAAGAAGGAAGUCUCGUUGGACACGUACACCUGGCAGAAGAAAUAUGGACAUCUGACCUCAUCUGUUAUGAUGGCGCAGGUGGAUGAGCGGCUUAAGCGCCGCUUUAGCGUCUCGGCCAGCAUGGAGGAGAUCUCGAAGAUAGCCGAGACCAAGACAGGCGCCUCGCAGGCAAAUCUUGGGCCGGAGCAGGCGGCCUUGGCGCAGUCGCAGCACUUUGAUCAACUGGAGGCGUUGUGGAACAAGCGUUCGCCGCCACGACGUCGCCACAAUGCGGGUUUGUCUCGUCAGACCUCGCUGGUGGAGGAUCGCUUAGAGUCCUCGGACGAUGACGAGUAUCAGGACGAGCGCGCAGACGAUUUCGACGAGUUCUUUUAGGUUCGUUUCAAUGCUCAGCAUACAAGCAAACAAUUUUUGAAAUACAAUUAUAAUCAAUUAAUAACAACAUAUAUUAAAUACACAAACUAAGUAUCUGCAAGCGUAAAUAUGUUAGAUUGUACUUAGUUGUUGGCCCACCCGCCUCGAGAGAGCGUAGAGAACAGCAGCUCAGAAUCACUUCGCUACAGGAGGAGGAUACCACAAGGGAUAAUCUGUAAGGCAAUUGAUUGCGGGCUCUAACUCUAACUCUGGCGCAUACGGUUAAUCACAACUUAUAAAUAAGUCAAUGUUUUAAAUGAUAAGCAAUAAGCGAGUAAAUGGCAAUUAGUCACGCUUCAAUUUCCACUCUACUCAGUGAUCUGUCUCUUGCAAUAAUUGUAGCAUACUUUUGUGGGCACACAUGUGUUCCAUUUCCUUUUCAUUUCUCUUGCUGGCUAUGUGAAUCUAAACUUUGCUAUGUCUGUUAAUCUAUUAUGAUGUUUAGUUAACUUUUGGCACAGCAAGCAAACGAGCUUAGGAUUGUUGGAAUGCUUCUGGCACAUGGCACAUACUCGAGUUAAACUCAACCUUUUGUUUAUCUUAGUACCUAGUGUUAAUCUAUCCUCAAAGCAAACAAACAAAAUUGUAGUCAGUAGUCUCUAAAAGCAAAAACCACCGUCUCAGACUUUAUAGAACCUAGCGUUAGUUAAGAGGGUAAAGCGAAGCAGGCGAAUCAUUUUGAGAUUUUAAUGUUGUAGAGCUGUUUUAUUGUACUUGUUGUUAGUAGUAGAUUUAAAUGUAUACUUAUACCGAAAACAUAUAGAAAAUGUUGCUAAUAUCUAGAGCAAAGAUGAAAUGCAAAUGCACAAACUCUAAAGGGGUUAAAAGCGUUACUAUGCUUAACAAACAUAAAUAAAAAAUUAAUAUACAUAUGCUGUAAUAGCGUAAAAGUAAAUGCUGAAAUACGAAUUACAACAACAAACAUAAAACAUUCGAGGCACACAAAUUUAAUUUGUAUAUAUUAACUGUACUCUGAUUUUGGCAACAUAUCCAGCGCUAAUAUAUAUAUAUUGUAACUAUUAUUGUUGAUUAAGCUCUGUUCUAAACGCACAGCUCUUAAGUUCAGCACGCACCUUAGAAUACUUCAAUAACUGUCUGACAAUCAGAAGUUCUUGCCUAGAACAAAAAACCAACAAGCAAAACCAAAAUAAAGAGAACAAAUAACAUUUCUACAGAUAUUUCUAUGCAUGUCAUAUGUGAACUUGUUUAAUCUCUAACCUAAGAACCCACACAAACCGCACACACAUACUAAAUAUAAAUAUAAAACAAAAAUUGUAGAACAAUGUUAAGCAACAAAAACAAAAAGCAAAAACAAAAGGGUUAGUCAAAGUAGCUAAGUUCUUGGCAAACAAACUUGUUUUGGGCUUUUAGCAUGUAGAUUACUACACUACUGUGUGCUAAAUGUACUAACAAUAGAGCAUUGUCUAUGUCUAUUACAAACAUUAAACUCAACUUUACUG